UACAUGUGGGGCAAGCGUUGUUCGGAAUUACUGGGCAUAAAGGGUGCGUAGGUGGCUUGUUAAGUCAGGGGUGAAAGUUUUCGGCCCAACCGGAAAAUGGCCUUUGAUACUGGCGAGCUCGAGUGCGUGAGGGGUAACCGGAACGAGCAGUGUAGCGGUGAAAUGCGUAGAUAUUGCUCGGAAGGCCAACGGCGAAGGCAGGUUACUGGUGCGCAACUGACACUGAGGCACGAAAGCGUGGGUAGCAAACAGG
rnacentral:rRNA from 1 species